rnacentral:rRNA from 1 species
UACAGGGGGUGCAAACGUUGCUCGGAAUCAUUGGGCGUAAAGCGCACGUAGGCGGUUCGUUAUGUCGGAUGUGAAAGCCCUUGGCUUAACCGAGGAAGUGCAUCCGAAACUGGCGAGCUAGAGUACUAAAGAGGAUCGCGGAAUUCCCGGUGUAGAGGUGAAAUUCGUAGAUAUCGGGAGGAACACCAGUGGCGAAGGCGGCGACCUGGACGGACACUGACGCUGAGGCGCGAAAGCGUGGGGAGCAAACAGG